rnacentral:rRNA from 1 species
AUUGAACGCUGGCGGCAGGCCUAACACAUGCAAGUCGAACGAGUGGCGGACGGGUGAGUAAUGUCUGGGAAACUGCCCGAUGGAGGGGGAUAACUACUGGAAACGGUAGCUAAUACCGCCUACCAUCGGAUGUGCCCAGGUGGGAUUAGCUAGUUGGUGGGGUAACGGCUCACCAAGGCGCCGAUCCCUAGCUGGUCUGAGAGGAUGACCAGCCACACGGUAACUGAGACACGGUCCAGACUCCUACGGGAGGCAGCAGGGGGGAAUAUUGGACAAUGGGCGGAAGCCUGAUGCAGCCAUGCCGCGUGUAUGAAGAAGGCCUUCGGGUUGUAAAGUACUUGCAGCGGGGAGGCGUUACCCGCAGAAGAAGCACCGGCUAACUCCGUGCCAGCAGCCGCGGUAAUUC